UACGGGGGGGGCAAGCGUUGUUCGGAGUUACUGGGCGUAAAGGGCUCGUAGGCGGCCAACUAAGUCGGACGUGAAAUCCCCAGGCUCAACCUGGGAACUGCGUCCGAUACUGGAUGGCUUGAAUCCGGGAGAGGGAUGCAGAAUUCCAGGUGUAGCGGUGAAAUGCGUAGAUAUCUGGAGGAAUACCGGUGGCGAAGGCGGCAUCCUGGACCGGCAUUGACGCUGAGGAGCGAAAGCCAGGGGAGCAAACGGG
rnacentral:rRNA from 1 species